UGAACAGUGCGUGGCUCAGCCAGAAC
rnacentral:piRNA from 1 species